CCUACGGGUGGCAGCAGUGGGGAAUAUUGGGCAAUGGGCGCAAGCCUGACCCAGCAACGCCGCGUGAAGGAAGAAGGCUUUCGGGUUGUAAGCUUCUUUUCUCAGGGACGAAGCAAGUGACGGUACCUGAGGAAUAAGCCACGGCUAACUACGUGCCAGCAGCCGCGGUAAUACGUAGGUGGCAAGCGUUAUCCGGAUUUACUGGGUGUAAAGGGCUUGUAGGCGGGACUGCAAGUCAGAUGUGAAAACCACGGGCUCAACCUGUGGCCUGCAUUUGAAACUGUAGUUCUUGAGUACUGGAGAGGCAGACGGAAUUCCUAGUGUAGCGGUGAAAUGCGUAGAUAUAAGGAAGAACACCAGUGGCGAAGGCGGAUGACUGGACGGCAACUGACGGUGAGGCGCGAAAGCGUGGGGAGCAAACAGGAUUAGAUACCCCUGUAGUC
rnacentral:rRNA from 1 species